rnacentral:misc_RNA from 1 species
AAAAUCCCUAGUAAUUCCUGCAUCACUUGACCUUGAGUUUGGCUUCAACUAUUAAUCAGAAUACUUGUGAUAAUUAAUCAAAGACAUUGCUGUAGCAGCUUAAUGUUGAGUUGAAUAUCCUUAAUCCUAGUCAUCUUAUGGCAUUCUAUAACAUCUCAGUAGAUCAAAUCGUCUGUUAAUACGAGAUGUGGAUUGAUGUUGGCA